rnacentral:rRNA from 1 species
UACGAAGGGUGCAAGCGUUAAUCGGAAUUACUGGGCGUAAAGCGUGCGCAGGCGGUUUCGUAAGUCUGUCGUGAAAUCCCCGGGCUUAACCUGGGAAUGGCGAUGGAGACUGCGAGGCUAGAGUUUGGCAGAGGGGGGUAGAAUUCCACGUGUAGCAGUGAAAUGCGUAGAGAUGUGGAGGAACACCGAUGGCGAAGGCAGCCCCCUGGGUCAAAACUGACGCUCAUGCACGAAAGCGUGGGGAGCAAACAGG